ACUGCUAUCGAGGUUCGACUAAGCCAUGCGAGUCGAAUGUAGCAAUACAUGGCGAACUGCUCAGUAACACGUGGACAACCUGCCCUUAGGUUGGGUAUAAACCCGGGAAACUGGGUAUAAUACCCGAUAGGUCUCGAUUGCUGGAAUGCAUCGAGAUUUAAAGCUCCGGCGCCUAAGGAUGGGUCUGCGGCCUAUCAGGUAGUAGUGGGUGUAGCGUACCUACUAGCCUACGACGGGUACGGGUUGUGAGAGCAAGAGCCCGGAGAUGGAUUCUGAGACACGAAUCCAGGCCCUACGGGGUGCAGCAGGCGCGAAAACUUUACAAUGCUGGCAACAGCGAUAAGGGAACCUCGAGUGCCAGGUUACAAAUCUGGCUGUCGAGAUGCCUAAAAAGCAUUUCAUAGCAAGGGCCGGGCAAGACCGGUGCCAGCCGCCGCGGUAACACCGGCGGCUCGAGUGGUAACCGUUAUUAUUGGGUCUAAAGGGUCUGUAGCCGGCCGGAUAAGUCUCUUGAGAAAUCUGGCAGCUUAACUGUCAGGCUUUCAGGAGAUACUGUCUGGCUCGAGGCCGGGAGAGGUGAGAGGUACUUCAGGGGUAGGGGUGAAAUCUUGUAAUCCUUGAAGGACCACCAGUGGCGAAGGCGUCUCACCAGAACGGACCUGACGGCAAGGGACGAAAGCUAGGGGCACGAACCGGAUUAGAUACCCGGGUAGUCCUAGCCGUAAACGAUACUCGCUAGGUGUCGGCCACGGUGCGACCGUUGUCGGUGC
rnacentral:rRNA from 1 species